CGCUAGCUACAGGCUUAACACAUGCAAGUCGAGGGGCAGCAUUCCAGUUUGCUUGCAAACUGGAGAUGGCGACCGGCGCACGGGUGAGUAACACGUAUCCAACCUGCCGAUAACUCGGGGAUAGCCUUUCGAAAGAAAGAUUAAUACCCGAUGGCAUAAUAGAACCGCAUGGUUUGAUUAUUAAAGAAUUUCGGUUAUCGAUGGGGAUGCGUUCCAUUAGGCAGUUGGUGGGGUAACGGCCCACCAAACCUUCGAUGGAUAGGGGUUCUGAGAGGAAGGUCCCCCACAUUGGAACUGAGACACGGUCCAAACUCCUACGGGAGGCAGCAGUGAGGAAUAUUGGUCAAUGGACGAGAGUCUGAACCAGCCAAGUAGCGUGAAGGAUGACUGCCCUAUGGGUUGUAAACUUCUUUUAUAUGGGAAUAAAGUGGUCCACGUGUGGAUUUUUGUAUGUACCAUAUGAAUAAGGAUCGGCUAACUCCGUGCCAGCAGCCGCGGUAAUACGGAGGAUCCGAGCGUUAUCCGGAUUUAUUGGGUUUAAAGGGAGCGUAGAUGGAUGUUUAAGUCAGUUGUGAAAGUUUGCGGCUCAACCGUAAAAUUGCAGUUGAUACUGGAUAUCUUGAGUGCAGUUGAGGCAGGCGGAAUUCGUGGUGUAGCGGUGAAAUGCUUAGAUAUCACGAAGAACUCCGAUUGCGAAGGCAGCCUGCUAAGCUGCAACUGACA
rnacentral:rRNA from 1 species